CUGCAAUGAGCCCUCCAGAAUGCAGACGUCUGGUCUGGUGGAACUCAAUAGAUUUCUGUUUGCUGCAUGUGCUGCGGGUGCACACACACACAUGCACAAAUGACCACUUUAUGAAAGCAUUUGCGUGCAAUAAAAAGUUAAUUUUUUUCACACUUAAAAUCAGCUUCGCCACCUGCAGUGAUUAUCAAGCAAGCUUCAUUUGGAGACAGAUUUGGAGGCUGGCGGCUCUUUGGCUCUGAGAAAAUCCCUGAAGAAAACAUCUUGGACACCCUGAGGCAUCACCUCACAAGUUGGACACCUGAAAUGCCUUCUAGCAGCAAAACUCAUUCAAAGGAAAUGACCUUCAGCCACAAGGUGCCCGAGGGGUGUGUGCCCACACAAACAUGCAGCACACAUGCAGCACACAGGUGGACUGCUGCAGUCCCAGAGAAUCGAUGCUCGUCCUUUUCAGCGUGAAUGAACCAGUUCAUAAGCGUGAUGUUGCUGCGUGGAUUGCCCUGACUGACAUCCUGGAGCUGGAACCCAGUGACUGCACCCAUUUGCACAACAGCCAGUACAAAAUGGGCGCAGAAAUGAAGUACAUUCCCACUGUUUAUUUCACUGGCCAGGAAAGAGGAUGCUCCCAACUCCCAUCCUCAGUCUGAGAAGAGUGCCAGCUUUGGGUGGGAUUGUGGAUAUGUAAAUAUCCACCCGUGAGGAACACGCUGAGACCAGAGAAUUGCUCUGCAAAAGACUGACUGCUGGUGUGGAUGUUUUCAAAGUUAGCAGUGUGAUCGCUUGAAUUGGACUAUGAUAUUCUUAUUUUGAAAGCAGAGUCCAAUGGGCAAAUUAAUUUCUGAAGGCAUAGCUGAAUGCCUGACUGCCAAAGUGGAUAAUGAGCGUAUCACCAGUGAGUCAGAGGGGAGGCAGCAAUAAAACGGAGCGAGGCUGGACAGCAAUAAAGCAGCAGAGAGGGAAGCUCACACCUUGGCAUCAUGCUCAUCUUUGCUCUGGAGGGAGUGUGUAAAAAAGACAACAUCCAAAGCUCUUAGAAAUUAAGCUCUAAUGAGUCUCAUGGAAGGAACCCAUAACAAGGGAUCUGUGGGGGCUGAAGGAAUUUGGAACUACAGACAGCCAACCCAGUAGUGUGUACAUAUCUGUAGCUGCUGGAGAGCAGUGCAUCUCAG
ensembl:lncRNA